UACGAAGGGGGCUAGCGUUGCUCGGAAUUACUGGGCGUAAAGCGCACGUAGGCGGCUUUCUAAGUCGGGGGUGAAAUCCUGGAGCUCAACUCCAGAACUGCCUUCGAUACUGGAGAGCUUGAGUCCGGGAGAGGUGAGUGGAACUGCGAGUGUAGAGGUGAAAUUCGUAGAUAUUCGCAAGAACACCAGUGGCGAAGGCGGCUCACUGGCCCGGUAC
rnacentral:rRNA from 1 species